AACGCUGGCGGCAGGCUUAACACAUGCAAGUCGAGCGGGGAAAGGUAGCUUGCUACCUAACCUAGCGGCGGACGGGUGAGUAAUGCUUAGGAAUCUGCCUAUUAGUGGGGGACAACAUUCCGAAAGGAAUGCUAAUACCGCAUACGCCCUACGGGGGAAAGCAGGGGAUCUUCGGACCUUGCGCUAAUAGAUGAGCCUAAGUCAUAUUAGCUAGUUGGUGGGGUAAAGGCCUACCAAGGCGACUAUCUGUAGCGGGUCUGAGAGGAUGAUCCGCCACACUGGGACUGAGACACGGCCCACACUCCUACGGGAGGCAGCAGUGGGGAAUAUUGGACAAUGGGCGAAAGCCUGAUCCAGCCAUGCCGCGUGUGUGAAGAAGGUCUUUUGGUUGUAAAGCACUUUAAGCGAGGAGGAGGCUACUUAUAUUAAUACUCUAGGAUAGUGGACGUUACUCGCAGAAUAAGCACCGGCUAACUCUGUGCCAGCAGCCGCGGUAAUACAGAGGGUGCGAGCGUUAAUCGUAUUUACUGGGCGCAAAGCGUGCGUAGGCGGCUUUUUAAGUCGGAUGUGAAAUCCCUGAGCUUAACUUACGAAUUGCAUUCGAUACUGGGAAGCUAGAGUAUGG
rnacentral:rRNA from 1 species